AUCUCUCCAGGCGCGCACGCAGCCCGGAGCGGGCCGGGGCACAGGGCGCAGGCGGGAGGUCGCAUCUGCAGCUUUGGCGCAAUGAAUCAGGCGCGGCCGCCGCCGCCGCCGCUGCGGAGCGCGUCUGGCAUCCGGAGUCUCCCGGGAUCGAAAAUAAUUUGGGCAAAGCGGUGGGAGGUGGUGCUGUGCUGUGUGCUACAGAUUCCACUGAGUGGGACCCUAAGGCCCAGCGGAACCCCCAUGGCUCCUCCUUGCUCAUUCCAGCAACGAAGAAAAAUGACUGCAUCUGCCCUGAGGACCGCUGUGCACAUUCUCUGAGUUGAUUCAUCAAAAGCCUUUAGCAGAGCGUGAGACUUGGAGGCCACCGUGCACAGAAGCUCAUUUGUGGAAGAGGAGGUUGGUGACUUGGUGGGGCCUCCCUUCUCUGUCAUCAAGGAUGCCCUCCUGUAGUGGCUCAGUGGAAAUGAAUCUGACGAGUAUCCAUGAGGAAGCUGCUUCCGUCUCUGGCCUGGCCUUGCUCAGUGGGUUAAGGAUGUGGCGUUGCCAUGAGCUGUGGUGUAGGUUGCGACGUGACUCAGAUCCUGCGUUGCUGUGGCUCUAGUGUAGGCCGGUAGCUACAGCUCCCAUUCCACCCCAGCCUGGGAACCUCCAUAUGCUGCCGCCCUACAAAGACAAAAAGACAAAAAGACAAAAA
rnacentral:lncRNA from 1 species